CAAAGUUCUAUGGCGGCUGCAAUUUGGUGAUUUUUCUUUUCCUGAACUGAAAAUAUCUAUUAUUUUCAGGUCAUACAUCCCAAGGAUCCAGGAGGAUGAGAGAGGUUGCAUGCCCAACUUGCACAGUCCAUUUGCAGGUUGAAGUCCCAGCUUCUGGAUCAGAAACGAUUGAGUGCAGUGUCUGCCAGCACCCAUUCCUUGUUAGUGCUCAUUGACAGGCAGGGUCGGUGUGGUUUGCUUUGCAAUCAUCCUAUAUGCAGGGAUGGAUUUGAAGCCACCACAAUGGUCCUUCCAACUUUAUAUGAUUGUUUUUAAGGCGUAUCAAGUUGUGUCUUCAUUGGUGUUUUGUUAGCGCCCUCUUUCAAUAGUGUAAAUUUAUUAACAGUAGUCAGUUCUAUGAGCUUUUUCUCGGUUGUGUGCAUGUAUAGUACACGUGCUUCAUGUCGUGAAGCACUUGCAAAAGUGAUUCACACAUAAUAUGAUGCGAGGUGCAUGAAACUAACUUGUUCAGUUCAUUGUGCAAAUCAAUCAAUUUUCAGUAUUUUGAAUCCUUUACA